rnacentral:tRNA from 1 species
GCUCCCAUGGUCUAAUGGAUAGGGCACAUGUCUUCGGAACAUGGGAUAGGGGUUCGAUUCCUCUUGGGAGCGCCA